CUCGCUUCUUGGCCUUUUAGCUGUGAUCAAAUGUAGUAUUUGGUCUUAUCAGUUUAAUAUCUGAUACGUCCCCUAUCCGGGAACCAUAUAUUAAUUCGAUUUUUGGAACAGGGAAAUGGAAUAGGGGCUUGCUCCAUCAACUCCCCGCAUCGACCUGGUAUCGCAGUACCUCCAGGAACGGUGCGCCCCCU